CUAGGUAUGUUGACUAGUUUAAGAUCUCGUCAUGUCCAGUUCAGGAAGCAACAAAGACAUCUUCCAAAACCAUAACGCACUCUCAAAAAAGGCAGUGACAUCUUGAGUCAGUAGAGGACUCAGAGGUUCAUGAUGAAACAGAACUGAAUACAGUGUAAAGUAGAAAGCUGGGUCCAGCAGCCUGGAGUUGGCAGAAGGGGGCCCACUAGAUAAUUGGCACCUUCAGGUUUGAAGUUAAACACGGGUGCAGUGUGUGAAGAAGUGGCCUUUUUCAGCAGGAACUGUGCGGUAGGGAAUGGGGAGAGAAAUGGUACACAGAAUUGGUUUGUGUGUGAGAGAAUAUAGCAAAAAUUGCAUAUCAUGAAACAAGAUGGUAGAAAGUAUGCCUUACUGUAAGCCUUAGCUCUUCCUUCUUCGUUUGGAUGCCGUCAAGUCACAUAGCUGCUUGAGUUAACCUUCUUGUAGGCACAUUUAAAAUUGGGUGAAACUUGCGCUUUUAAAUACUUAGCUGUAAGGAACACUCAGCACAGGGCCUAAAGGUCUGUAGUGCCUGUGCAGUUGUCUGCUUCAUGCACUUGUGUCUGAUGUGAGAGCAGAAGAUCUGUAGAAGGGAUUGGUAAAACACAACAGAGAAGGGGGAAUAUCUUGCAUUAGAUAGAUUGAUAAUCACAUUAUGAUUAAGAUUGGAAAAGAUCUCUUAAGAUCAUCUAGUCCAACCAUCAAUCCAUCAUCACCACGCACACUAGCCACAUUCCUCAGUGCCACAUCUCCACAGUUCUUGAACACCUCCAGGCUCAGUGACUCCACCACCUACCUGGGCAGCCUGUGCUACUGCCUCACUACCCUUUCAGAGCAUAGUUUUUUUCUAAGUUAAACUUCCCCUGGUACAAAUUAAAGCCAUUAUCUCUCAUCACUAGUUACCUGAGAGAAGAGGCUGACCUUCACCUCACCACAACCUCGUUUCAAGGAGUUGUAGAGAAUGAUAAGGUGUCCCCUGAGCCUCCUCAUCUCCAGACUAAACAAUCAGAGUUUCCUCAGUUGCUCCUCAAAAAUUUGUACUCCAGACCCUUCACCAACUUUGCCACCCUUCUAUGGAUCCACUCCAGGGCCUUGACACCUUUCUUUUAGUGAGGGGCCCAAAGCUGAACAGAGUAGUCAAGGUGUGACUUCACCAGUGCUCAGUACAGAGAGACAAUCAUCUCUAGUCCUGCUGACUAUACUAUUUCUGAUAAAAGCCAGGAUGCCAUUGGCCUUGUUGGCCACCUGGGAAUGCUGCUUUCUCAUGUUCAGCUGGUGACUAGUAGCCCCAGAGCCUUUUCCUCCAUGCAGUUUUCCAGCCACUCUGCCCCAAGCCUGUAGCGGUGCAUGAGGUUGUUGUGACCAAAGUGCAGAACCUGGUACUUGGUGUUGUUAAAGCUCAUAUGAUUGGUCUCAGCCCUUUGAUCCCACCUGUCCACAUCCCUCUGUAAAGCCUUGCUACCCUCAGGUAGAUCAAUACUCCUCCCAGCUUGCUGUCAUCUGCAAACUUACUGAGGGAAAUGUAGCUUACAUACUAAUUUUCAUCAGUUGUCAAUUUAAGAAAGUGUUACUGUAUCCCAGUGAAGAAUGGAGGUGUGGAAGAGUGAAGAGAUGUGGUUUGGCUGUGGGUAUUCCUGCCCACAAGAUAGUAGGAUUUGAGACAAUACUGAGAUCUUGUAAGAGCUUCUGACUUUCUCUUUGUUGGAAUCCGUGUAAGUUCUGUGAUUAGUUUUUUUUUUAUGUUUCAACUCAUCUGGUGUAGUUUAAAAAAAAUAAUAAUUAAAAUAAGCACAAAUUCUUACAAGGGAAGCAGUUGGAAUCUGCUAGAUCUAACAGUAAUUGCUCAUCGUAUACAGGCAUGAUACAGCCCGUACCUUCAUCGUACGUCAGCUAUGCGUGAUCAUGUCUUCUGUAUAUCAAACAAGAAUACUUCCAAAAUGAUACAGCUUGUCAGCUUUAAAUUCAGCCAGAGGCCAAGUACACAUUUGAGUUACAAUUAGUUUUACAUUUGGAUGGCCCAUUGAAGAACUAUAUCUUUUUGGGGAUAGUAUACAAUCAUUUUCUUGUAAUGUGUUCUUAUUUUGUACAUUUCUCUCUCUUUGAAAGAACUCAAUAUAUUUUCUCAAGAUUAGAAGUAUUCUUAAAAUUAUUUUGGAGCUGUUAUGACUAGAAGGGUUUUUCUAGAUUUUGUUGUUGUUGUGGGCUUCUUGCCAACAGCUGCUGUGGAAACGAAAUCUUCAUGCGAAGAAGUGUGUGUUCUUUUUGAAGGUUAACCAGAGCCUGCCGAGCACAUCCUAAGCAUCUGGCUCAUGAGAUUAAAAGCCUUAAAAGUAAAGGCCUGUAAACCUAAGAGAAUGAGUAACCACUUUAAAGCAAAUUUUAGAUGUGAACAGAGAGCCUAAAAAAUUGAUCAGCAGGAAAAGUUGUCCUUUUUAGUGAAUAAGAAAUGUAAGACUAUAAUGAGAACUGAUAAAAGUCAGGCUCUUAGACUUGGCAAAAGGUACUAAAGCGAGUAAUGAGAGGUUUGGCAGGUGAUUACUCUGAAGGGUAUAUGUAAGAUAGGUCCUAUUAAUUAUUUGCAUUAUUGACCUUUCUGCACACACAUGAAAAACAAAACUGUACUUACGAAAACCUGCUGACAUAGUGUUGGGAGACACUGUUGGUAUGUUGUAGAGUUGAAAUAGCUCAAUAAUUGCCUAAGACUGAAGUCUAAAGUAGUAGAAAUUAGAUGACACGUAACAUGAGGUUGGGCACUUACUUAGCAGUAUUUUCUGAUAACUUUGGCAAGCUUGUUGGGUGGAGGGACCCCAGCUCAUCUCUCCUUCUGCAGUGCCUCCAUUACAGACCUUAAAGGAUUUGCUUCUUUUCUGUUUUGAGGUAUUUCCUGAUGAAGGUAGUCUCCUACAUACUCAAAUCCUGACAGCUUAUUAAAAGUAAAACUGAUAGAAGAUUUACUAAAUCUGUAUGAAGAUCUAUAUGUUUGCUUGUGAUGGAUAUCCAUAACAAGAUUUAUCUUGUAGUAAGAAAAAGUCUGAGAAAAUCUGAAAGAAUUGCAUGGGAAGCUAUUUACCCUUUUAAAAUUAUUAUUAUUUUUCUUUUUCUUUGAUCAUAUCAGAGAACAUAGGACAGUAUCCCAUCUGUUAGCUAAACACAUAUGUGACAUUAUGUGACACAAAUGAUUUUUUGGACCAUGUUAGUGAAAACUGUACACUAAAAGGGAUAUCCAGAAGCAAUUUUCUUGAUGAUGCUUCAGAGUUUGCUUGGAAUAGGCUUCUAUCUUCAGACAUGCACAUCAAAAAUGAUUUCCAGAAAUGCUGGAAAUAAUAUAAUAAUAAGGUUGGAUUCCGACUCCUAUGGUGAGAAGAAGAAUGUUUCUGGAAGAGCUGAAGGAAUUAUCUGGCAUACAAAACUAAUAAAUCAAACUACAAAACUUCUGUAUUUAAAAACAUAAAAUAAAUAACAACAAAGAAAAAAUAACAAAAACUUACAGUAUGGAAAUAAAAUGCCAAAUUUUUGAGGGGGCUGAAUUUAGCAGAAUUGUGUGCCAUUCUUUCCUUUUUACAGUGUGGGUUUUAUUGUAAAAGGAAGACUUUGUUGUGUAUUUUAAUUUUUUUUUUAAUUUUUUAUUUAUUUAUUUUUUUUUUUCUCCAUAUAAUUUGGAGUAACUUUUAAUAUCCUCUCAUAGUUGUUAGGGAAAAUAGUGAUUUUAUGUAUCUGUGAUUCUGUGCUUUCUGUAUGAAUUACUUUAGUACUACUUAAACCAUUUGCUGCAAGGUGAUGCAGACUUCUUUUUAAGUUGAGUCUAAGAAAAUAUCUGUAAAUUAGCACUAAUGGUCAGUGUGGCUGGAAGAGAAACUCUUUCAUGUUUGGAAUUGACUGUGAGAUUGAACUUACUCCAAUUUAUUGCAAAGUCAAUAUUCAGCUUAAAAAUUAAAAAGGUUAAUAAUUAUUAGGUUUUCAGAAGAAAGUAGUAGUGUUAUGACCUGCCUAACAUCACACAGCUACAAAAAUGCUAUAAAAUGAUUUUUUAAGCUUAUAUUUAUAGUGAGUAGAUGGCUUAUUCCUUUAUCUCACUACUUAUGCAUCCAUGAACUGUUAAUUAAUACUUCUGCAGUAAUUAUGGAAUAUUUUAAAUAGACAUUAUUCUUCUGAAUUUUAAAAGAUCAGGAUUUUUUUAUUAAUUUAAAAGGAUAAUAGGACUGACCCAUACUUUGGGCAACUCUUUCAUAAAGAGGUGCUUUUUAAGAUCAUUUAAAUUUUUACAUUUUGAUUGCAUGGAAUAAUAAAGCCUUACAUUUUCUUCACAUUUUCCCAUUUACUCUUCUAAGCUGGGUCACCAUUGUAUCAAAAAAGGUCAUUGUUCUCCAUAAAAAGGUGAGCAAUCGCCUGUUAGUAUUGAUACCAGAGAACUUACAGCCAGUGUUUUUUGUCUUCUGGCAUGGAUUUUUCUUUAUACAGAGGACUGAAGCUUGUAAGAUGAAUUUUUAUUCCAUUUAGUUUCUUCUUCUUUUCCACCUUCUUUGUUUUACACCUGAGAAUGUUUAACCCAAAUGUUUAGGUAUUUUUUUGCAGUGGUUCUCCUCCCAGCACUCCUCGAUGAGUGGCUGCUGUGGAACAGAAAAGAAACCGGAGCACCUCUAGUAGGUGAGCAGUACAGUGUGGAAAACUCACAGACUAGGAUUGUAAGAAGAGAGAGCACGUUUUAGUAUGCUAGCUGAUACUGUUGGGAAGGACACACAGGUUUGAGGCAGUUCUAAUGCUUUCUCAGGUCUGAAAUAAAAUCUGCAACCUUUGAGAGGAGUGGAGAUCAGGUGUCUUUGAGUUCAGCUGAUCAGGCUUAUCAGAAGAGCUGAGAGGAAGGAUGGCUGCUCCUUUUGGAGUGGAGGAGUGGUACUGACAAGAGUGGCAACAACAGAAAACAUGAGAGGUAGAAAUCAAAGGUCCCAGUGAAUUCCUGUGCGACACCCAUUGUGGCCGUGUGAUCUUCCAUGGUCAGCCCCAUGCAGGCAAGCAGCAUGCUGCCAAGGAGACACAUUCAUUUGGACUAGGGAGGUUGCAUGCAUCUAAGUAAUUUGAUCGAUGCCCAUGGCAACUCUCACCUGCUCACCUGUUCCACAUUAAGUAACAAGAGGUGUGGAGGAAGGGGCAAGGUUUCUGUGACUGCAGUAAGAACUGAAGCAAGCUGCAUCUGAUCAAGAUAGGCCUUUUGCUAUUUUGUUUCGUACUACAUUAUCAGUUGCAUUUUAUUUUGCAUAAUGUUCUUCUCUUUGAGUGGCUUCCAAAUGCGUAACUUGCCUCACAGAUCUUUACGUCAUAGUAGGUAGGUGAACAGUAUUUGAAAUCAGAAUGCUGGCUAAUGUUAUGGAAAUUCCUGAAUGGUUCACAGGUUUAUGUAUGUUUGUACACAGUAUUAAUAAAACAGAAGAAAGCAGUGUAUAGUGAUUUAAGGCUAAUUCAUAAAUGGUGAUAGAGGACUCUUAACUAACUAUAUUGUUUGCUGAGGUUAAGCAUCAGAUUUUAUUUGGCUCUUUAUUUAUGCAAACAGCAACAUAACCAAAGUGAGCCAUUUUCUAUCCUUCAUCGUGCUCUUCAGUCUAAAAAUAUGUUCCUAAGUUUCUUUCAGGGCACUUAGUAAAACCCAAUAAGUAAGUGCAGCAAAUUAUGAAAAGGAAGUGGAGUAGCUCAAAAUAAGCUGUAUUUCAUUUGAUGAUCUGAGAAGCAUUUCUUGAUCUUGGUUGACCUUUGCUUUUAAUUCCGUGUGAAGGUGAAACGUUCAGAGAUUUGCAGCUCCCCUUUUGUGUCUCCUUUCUGGAGGAAAUAAAGUUGUCUGUGAAGAUUGGGAGGCAUAACGUGUUCUGGGUAUCUUCUAAAUCUAAGUAAGUGAGUGGUAAAGACCUCUGAAGAUGCAGCACAAUAGAA